CUGCGUAAGAUUAGCUUGUUGGUGAGGUAAAGGCUCACCAAGGCGACGAUCUUUAGCGGGUCUGAGAGGACGAUCCGCCACAUUGGGACUGAGACACGGCCCAGACUCCUACGGGAGGCAGCAGUGGGGAAUAUUGGACAAUGGGCGCAAGCCUGAUCCAGCCAUACCGCGUGUGUGAAGAAGGCCCUAGGGUUGUAAAGCACUUUAAGUUGGGAAGAAAAGUUAUUGGUUAAUACCCAAUAACCGUGACAUUACCAUCAGAAUAAGGACCGGCUAAUUCCGUGCCAGCAGCCGCGGUAAUACGGAAGGUCCAAGCGUUAAUCGGAAUUACUGGGCGUAAAGCGCGCGUAGGUGGUUUAUUAAGUUGGAUGUGAAAUCCCCGGGCUCAACCUGGGAACUGCAUCCAAAACUGAUUCACUAGAGUACGAUAGAGGGAGGUAGAAUUCACAGUGUAGCGGUGGAAUGCGUAGAUAUUGUGAAGAAUACCAAUGGCGAAGGCAGCCUCCUGGAUCUGUACUGACACUGAGGUGCGAAAGCGUGGGUAGCGAACAGGAUUAGAUACCCUGGUAGUCCACGCCGUAAACGAUGUCAACUAGCUGUUGGAAAACUAUGUUUUUCAGUGGCGCAGCUAACGUAGUAAGUUGACCGCCUGGGGAGUACGGCCGCAAGGCUAAAACUCAAAUGAAUUGACGGGGACCCGCACAAGCGGUGGAGCAUGUGGUUUAAUUCGAUGCAACGCGAAAAACCUUACCUAUACUUGACAUACUUGGAAUGCUUUGUAAUGAAGCAGUGCCUUCGGGAGCCAAGAUACAGGUGCUGCAUGGCUGUCGUCAGCUCGUGUCGUGAGAUGUUCCGUUAAGUCGGAUAACGAGCGCAACCCUUACCCUUAUUUGCCAGCGAUUCGGUCGGGAACUAUAAGGGGACUGCCGGUGAUAAACCGGAGGAAGGUGAGGACGACGUCAAGUCAUCAUGGCCCUUACGUAUAGGGCUACACACGUGCUACAAUGGAGAAUACAGACGGACGCUAAGCCGCGAGGUGGUGCUAAUCCUAGAAAAUUCUUCGUAGUCCGGAUUGGAGUCUGCAACUCGACUCCAUGAAGUCGGAAUCGCUAGUAAUCGCGAAUCAGCAUGUCGCGGUGAAUACGUUCUCGGGUCUUGUACACACCGCCCGUCAUACCAUGGAAGUGGAUUGCACCAGAAGUAGAUAGUCUAACCUUCGGGAGGGCGUUUACCACGGUGUGCUUCAUGACUGGGGUAAAGUCGUAACAAGGUAGCCGUAGGGGAACCUGUGGCUG
rnacentral:rRNA from 1 species